AGUGAACGCUGGCGGCGUGCUUAACACAUGCAAGUCGAACGAGAACGGAUUAUAGCUUGCUAUAAUUGUCAGCUAAGUGGCGCACGGGUGAGUAAUGUAUAGGUAAUAUGCUUCUUACUAAGGGAUAACAAAUGGAAACGUUUGCUAAUACCUUAUACUCCUUAUUAACAGAAGUUAAUAAGGGAAAGAUUUAUUGGUAAGAGAUUAGCCUGUAUUGUAUCAGUUAGUUGGUGGGGUAAUGGCUUACCAAGACUAUGACACAUAACUGGUUUGAGAGGAUGAUCAGUCACACUGGAACUGAGACACGGUCCAGACGCCUACGGGAGGCAGCAGUGGGGAAUAUUGCACAAUGGACGAAAGUCUGAUGCAGCAACGCCGCGUGGAGGAUGACACAUUUCGGUGCGUAAACUCCUUUUAUAUGAGAAGAUAAUGACGGUAUUAUAUGAAUAAGCACCGGCUAACUCCGUGCCAGCAGCCGCCGUAA
rnacentral:rRNA from 1 species